AGUAAGAUCAGCUAACUAAGCUAUCAGGCUCAUACCCUGAAAAUGUUGGUUUCAAUCCCUCUCACACUA
rnacentral:tRNA from 1 species